rnacentral:rRNA from 1 species
CGGAUUAGGUAGUUGGUGGGGUAAAGGCCUACCAAGCCGACGAUCCGUAGCUGGUCUGAGAGGAUGAUCAGCCACACUGGGACUGAGACACGGCCCAGACUCCUACGGGAGGCAGCAGUGGGGAAUAUUGGACAAUGGGCGAAAGCCUGAUCCAGCAAUGCCGCGUGAGUGAUGAAGGCCUUAGGGUUGUAAAGCUCUUUUACCCGGGAUGAUAAUGACAGUACCGGGAGAAUAAGCUCCGGCUAACUCCGUGCCAGCAGCCGCGGUAAUACGGAGGGAGCUAGCGUUGUUCGGAAUUACUGGGCGUAAAGCGCACGUAGGCGGCUUUGUAAGUCAGGGGUGAAAGCCUGGAGCUCAACUCCAGAACUGCCUUUGAGACUGCAUCGCUUGAAUCCGGGAGAGGUGAGUGGAAUUCCGAGUGUA